UAUUCCGAAACUAGAAUUCUCUGUUGGUAAUAUUAACAAGUGGAAGUAGGAAAAACAUUUUUCUGCAACCGCUUUGCAUUUCCACCUGUUCUUUCUCCGCCGGCUGUUGAACAGUGCAUAAUAAUAAAUGGCUACAGGUGGGAAUAAUAACUCUAGCCGCGGUACUGAUGUACUAGAUAGUGUAUCGAUUUCUUUUAAAGAAUGCAUUAUUGACAAAGAUUCUAUAGUUUUCCAUCUUGAUGCAAGCAAAUGAAGUAGUUCAGUCAUUUGAUGCUAGUGAAAUAGGAAUUACACUAGAUCCUGGGCUAUCAAGUUUCUAAACAACGUGAAGAAAUUUCAAAGUAGAACCUGGGCUAUCAAAAGUUUCUAAACAAUGUGAAGAAAUUUAAAAGUAGAACCUGGGUUAUCAAAAGUUUCUGAAUAAUGUGAAGAAAUUUCAAAGAAACAAAUGAACUUCACCAAAAGAUAGAAUUGAGUGGAAAAGAAAAAGUUAAUUUAAAACUUCAACUGGAUGUAACUUCACGUAACUGAUGAGAACAAAAUAAACCUACG